AGUGAACGCUGGCGGUAGGCCUAACACAUGCAAGUCGAACGGCAGCACAGUAAGAGCUUGCUCUUACGGGUGGCGAGUGGCGGACGGGUGAGGAAUACAUCGGAAUCUACUUUUUCGUGGGGGAUAACGUAGGGAAACUUACGCUAAUACCGCAUACGACCUACGGGUGAAAGCAGGGGAUCUUCGGACCUUGCGCGAUUGAAUGAGCCGAUGUCGGAUUAGCUAGUUGGCGGGGUAAAGGCCCACCAAGGCGACGAUCCGUAGCUGGUCUGAGAGGAUGAUCAGCCACACUGGAACUGAGACACGGUCCAGACUCCUACGGGAGGCAGCAGUGGGGAAUAUUGGACAAUGGGCGCAAGCCUGAUCCAGCCAUACCGCGUGAGUGAAGAAGGCCUUCGGGUUGUAAAGCCCUUUUGUUGGGAAAGAAAAGCAGCAGGUUAAAACCCCGCUGUUCUGACGGUACCCAAAGAAUAAGCACCGGCUAACUUCGUG
rnacentral:rRNA from 1 species